UACGUAGGGUGCAAGCAUUAAUCGGAAUUAUUGGGCGUAAAGGGCGUGUAGGCGGACUUGUAAGUCAGAUGUGAAAUUCCGGGGCUCAACCUCGGAGCUGCAUUUGAAACUGUGAGUCUAGAGGGUUGACGGAGAAAACGGAAUUCCACGUGUAGCGGUGAAAUGCGUAGAUAUGUGGAAGAACACCAGUGGCGAAAGCGGUUUUCUAGUUAAUACCUGACGCUGAGGCGCGAGAGCAAGGGGAGCAAACAGG
rnacentral:rRNA from 1 species